rnacentral:rRNA from 1 species
UACGUAGGCAGCGAGCGUUGUUCGGAGUUACUGGGCGUAAAGGGUGUGUAGGCGGUUCUCUAAGUUUGGUGUGAAAUCUCCCGGCUUAACCGGGAGGGUGCGCCGAAAACUGGGGGACUAGAGUGCGGGAAGGGAGAGUGGAAUUCCUGGUGUAGCGGUGAAAUGCGUAGAUAUCAGGAGGAACACCGGUGGUGUAGACGGCUCUCUGGACCGUAACUGACGCUGAGACACGAAAGCGUGGGUAGCAAACAGG